CUGAUGUAGGUGUUGGUGCUGAUGUUGGUGUCAGUUCAGAGGUUGGUGUUGGUACUGAUGUUGGUGUUGGAGCUGAUGUUGGUGUUGGAGCUGAUGUUGGUGUAAGUUCAGAUGUUGGUGUUGGUGCUGAUGUUGGUGUCAGUUCAGAGGUUGGUGUUGGUACUGAUGUUGGUGUUGGAGCUGAUGUUGGUGUCAGUUCAGAUGUUGGAGUUGGAGCUGAUGUUGGUGUAAGUUCAGAGGUUGGUGUUGGUGCUGAUGUUGGUGUCUGUUCAGAGGUUGGUGUUGGUACUGAUGUUGGUGUUGGAGCUGAUGUUGGUGUUGGAGCUGAUGUUGGUGUAAGUUCAGAUGUUGGUGUUGGUGCUGAUGUUGGUGUCAGUUCAGAGGUUGGUGUUGGUACUGAUGUUGGUGUUGGAGCUGAUGUUGGUGU